rnacentral:tRNA from 1 species
GGAGAGGUGGCCGAGUGGUUAAAGGCGACGGACUGUAAAUCCGUUCUCUCAGAGUACGAAGGUUCGAAUCCUUCCCUCUCCACCA